UACGUAGGGUCCAAGCGUUAUCCGGAAUCACUGGGCGUAAAGCGUGCGUAGGUGGCGUGUUAAGUGUGAUGUUAAAUCGUGGGGCUCAACCCUAUCGAUGCAUCGCAUACUGGCAUGCUAGAGGGAAGCAGAGGCAAGUGGAAUUGUAGUGUAGCAGUGAAAUGCGUAGAUAUCUGGAGGAACACCGGUGGCGAAGGCGGCGUCCUGGACCAACACUGACACUGAUGAGCGAAAGCCAGGGGAGCAAACGGG
rnacentral:rRNA from 1 species